rnacentral:tRNA from 1 species
AGCGGGGUGGAGAAAUGGUAUCUCGCCAGGCUCAUAACCUGGAGAUUGCACGUUCGACUCGUGCCCCCGCUACAA